rnacentral:tRNA from 1 species
GCCUCGGUGGCUUAGUCGGUUAAGCGUCUGACUUCAGCUCAGGUCAUGAUCUCACGGUCUGUGAGUUCGAGCCCCGCCUCGGGCU